AACAGAGAGAAAUUAUUUUUUGGCACUGGAGAAGACGUGAGUUUGUAUAUUUAAAGACUGCAAAGACUUGCUAAUGAUGACCAUAACAUUUCUUAUAGAUAAGUUAUAACCAAGAUGCUAAGCUGUACCUGCAGCGGGGGAAGGAGGGACUGCGGAACAGCCUCUUGUUUCCAGAAAAGAAUUGUUCCAGAAAGAUCAGAAAGGAAAGGUAAUUAUGAAGAGAAGCUGAAUCAGAAGAUGGAGUAGACUGUAUUUCUAGCUCCAAGAUGUUAGCUGGACAUCUGGGCAGAGCCUCCUCAGUGCCUCUCAUCGUGAGGACGUGGACUGCCAUCCUCUCUCUGUCCCACCUGUCCCUGCCCGUCCACCAUUCUCCUUCUUGCUGAUCCAGCUUCUCACGUGCCGCAGGACAAAGAAGCUGUGAAAUGAAAAUCCUGGCAAAUUGCCAAAGGUAGUAAAACUAUUUAAUGACAGAAUUGGAAGCAGAACACAUCAUGCCUGCCUCCCAACCCAGUGCAAACAGAUACGUGUAUUUCUACAAGUUUUCAGGCUAUGGUUACCUAGAGAUUAUUUGUGAAGAGAUUUAUG